rnacentral:rRNA from 1 species
GGUGAACGCUGGCGGUAGGCCUAACACAUGCAAGUCGAACGGCAGCACAGUAAGAGCUUGCUCUUACGGGUGGCGAGUGGCGGACGGGUGAGGAAUACAUCGGAAUCUACUUUUUCGUGGGGGAUAACGUAGGGAAACUUACGCUAAUACCGCAUACGACCUACGGGUGAAAGCAGGGGAUCUUCGGACCUUGCGCGAUUGAAUGAGCCGAUGUCGGAUUAGCUAGUUGGCGGGGUAAAGGCCCACCAAGGCGACGAUCCGUAGCUGGUCUGAGAGGAUGAUCAGCCACACUGGAACUGAGACACGGUCCAGACUCCUACGGGAGGCAGCAGUGGGGAAUAUUGGACAAUGGGCGCAAGCCUGACCCAGCCAUACCGCGUGGGUGAAGAAGGCCUUCGGGUUGUAAAGCCCUUUUGUUGGGAAAGAAAAGCAGCAGGUUAAUACCCCGCUGUUCUGACGGUACCCAAAGAAUAAGCACCGGCUAACUUCGUG